UGAACGUUUGUCUGAAGGAAGGCAGCUGCCCAGAAGUCAAGCAAGAAACAGGUUCUCAUCAGGAACCAAAUGCACCUGUGCCUUGAUCUGGGCCUUCCCAGCCUCCAGAAUGAGGAAGAAACCCAGCCCACAGAGGAUAAGUGACCUGCCCAAGGAUGAUUCUUGGUACUGGAGGUGUUCCCGAGGCUAAGUAAACAGCAGCAUGCCUGG